rnacentral:rRNA from 1 species
UGAGUAACCUGCCCUUAACUCUGGGAUAAGCCUGGGGAACUGGGUCUAAUACCGGAUAUGACUCCUCAUCGCAUGGUGGGGGGUGGAAAGCUUUUUGUGGUUUUGGACGGACUCGCGGCCUAUCAGCUUGUUGGUGAGGUAAUGGCUCACCAAGGCGACGACGGGUAGCCGGCCUGAGAGGGUGACCGGCCACACUGGGACUGAGACACGGCCCAGACUCCUACGGGGAGGCAG